rfam:Triticum aestivum genome assembly, contig: Triticum_aestivum_CS42_TGACv1_scaffold_129307_2BL
UAUGUACUCCCUCCGUCCCAAAAUUGUUGUCUUAAAUUUUUCUACACACGGAUGUAUCUAGUUACAUUUUAGUGUUAUAUACAUCCGUAUCUAGAAAAAUCCAAGACAAGAAUUUUGGGACGGAGGGAGUACUUC